GUGAGGAAUCUUGCGCAAUGGGGGAAACCCUGACGCAGCAACGCCGCGUGAGUGAGGAAGGUCUUCGGAUCGUAAAGCUCUGUCAGUUGGAAAGAAAUGUCUGAGAGUCAAUCCCUUUCAGGCUUGACGGUACCAACAGAGGAAGCACCGGCUAACUCCGUGCCAGCAGCCGCGGUAAUACGGGGGGUGCAAGCGUUGUUCGGAAUUAUUGGGCGUAAAGAGCGUGUAGGCGGCCGGAUAUGUCAGAUGUGAAAGCCCCGGGCUUAACCCGGGAAGUGCAUUUGAAACUGUCCGGCUCGAGUAGGGGAGAGGGAAGUGGAAUUCCUGGUGUAGAGGUGAAAUUCGUAGAUAUCAGGAGGAACACCGGUGGCGAAGGCGACUUCCUGGCCCUAUACUGACGCUGAGACGCGAGAGCGUGGGUAGCAAACAGGAUUAGAAACCCGAGUAGUCC
rnacentral:rRNA from 1 species